GCCCUUGUAGAUCAGUGGUAGAUCACCCACCGCUUUUGUCAGACUUUUAUAGGAUGUUGGUGGGAGGCGGGGGUUCGAAUCCCCUCGAGGACA